rnacentral:rRNA from 1 species
UGCCAGCCGCCGCGGUAAUACGGAGGGUGCAAGCGUUAAUCGGAAUUACUGGGCGUAAAGCGUGUGUAGGCGGUCUGCUAAGUCGGAUGUGAAAGCCCCGGGCUUAACCUGGGAAUUGCAUUCGAUACUGGUAGACUUGAAUUUGGUAGAGGAAAGUGGAAUUCCGGGUGUAGCGGUGAAAUGCGUAGAUAUCCGGAGGAACAUCAGUGGCGAAGGCGGCUUUCUGGACCAAUACUGACGCUGAGAUGCGAAAGCGUGGGGAGCGAACAGGAUUAGAUA